UCCUGGCUAGCUCAGUCAGUAGAGCAUGAGAUUCUUAAUCCCAGUGUCAUGGGUUUGUGCCCCAUGUUGGGUG
rnacentral:tRNA from 1 species